GCCAUCGACUCCUCUCCUCCCAUACCCAUCGGCUCUCUCUACCGUGGACCCAUACCCAUCGGCUCUCUCUCCCUCACCACAAGAUCCUUUCUCCCUCUCUCCCUUUGCCACCCCCAUACCCAUUCAUUUUUUCUCACCAUACCCAUUCCGAUUUUGCUUGUUUUGAUUUUAGCCCAGCAUCAUCAAAUUGCUCCGCUGGAACAGCCACUGCCUCGAUUGGCAUUUUUUGGAUAUUGCCUGUAGGUUUCAUCAAUCUUUGGUAUACUUUCUGCGCUAUUUUGAAUC